CCCUUUCAUUAUUCCAACUGCCUCUUGGGAAAUUGUUCCCAGUGGGAGGGUGCCCUCCAAGCAUUGCGUCUGCUCUGGUGAAAUAUCCAGAAAGACACUCCCAUUGAGGUGAGAGCAAAGCACCACACCCUGGGAAUCUGGGAAACCCAACCCUUUAUCUCAAGUCAAGGAUAUAAACUGUCCCCUUCAGAGCAUCUGGAACAGUUUGGUUGUGUGUGGAGCCAGUCCUCCUGAAACAGAGGAAGUGGGAUCCAGAAACCAAAAAGAUGAAACUCAGCUCGGGCAGAAUGCCCCUGAGGGUGAAUUUUGCCUUGAUCUUCGCUAUGACUCUCCUUUCAGGUGUGAAACCCAUGAGUAUUCACAAGCCUGAAGAGACAAUUGCUGCAGCAUCGGCCACUGUGGCGACUGCAUCCGAGGCAGGCGGCUUGGAGAAGGAGGUCACCCCAGAUAAAUAUGAGUUUGAUGACAACGAGGUUGAACGAGAUUACAGUGAAGUAGGCUUGACUCCACUUGACGAUUCUACAGAAUUUGAUGAAGCCACUUCACCUGGUGCAGCGACUGCGUCUCCUCAGGAUUCCACAACGGGUGGAACAAGGGUGGCCAAAGAAAACAACUUGGAAGAGCCUCCAAAGAACAAUGACAAACCAGAAGAUGAUGUAGCUGACAACCCAAUCGGUCUUGACGAACAUGAUGAAACCGAGGAGGAUGCUCUUAACCUUAUCAGACUCAUGGUCAAGAGAGCCAUUGAGGAUGAUGAUGAGGAUGACGACGAAGCACAGCCAGAGACCAUUGAUGAAGAUGAUUUUUCAUUUUCUGACAUGUCCAAAAUCUUUGAACCUCUGAUAGAAGCUUUCUCCCAGGUAGAGUCUGGGGCCCCUGCUCCAGAAGAUGUUUUCUCAUGGUUACCUGCCCUGAAGGACCUUCUGCAGCCCAAGGAAGAGCCCAGUGCAAGCCAACCGACUGACCUGCCACCUGAUACUGCAGAGAGAAGGUCUAAUUUCCCAACAUCCCUUGGACCGUCUCUGCAGAUAGCUCCAGCUGCCUCCCCUGAACAACCAGCUGAAUCAGAGAUCCUUCCCUCUCCGUCUCUACUGGAAGAGUCGGUCACUCCUUUUCAACCAACCUUCCCUGCCCCUAUUCCAAGUAGCCCACCUUCACCUUCAAAUGCCCCAGACUCUGAAGACAGGUCUUACUAAGCAUCUCUCUUGUUUUAGUUUCUUUUUUAAAUUUCUAAAACAAAUACAAGAAUACAAAAUACUUACUAAUACAAUCUAAAACACAGUGCACCCCCAUAUCCACAGGCCCCUUUAGCGCAAUACUUUUAAUGCGAUCCUCUUUUCCAAAAUUGUAUUGAUUGUUGUUUAGAGGCUUUCCCCUUUCCUUUCAUUAAUACAAAUUCAAUAAGUCUACCCCAAAUAGCAUUAAAAAUAUUUGAACUUAUUUCCCCUCUUUUCAUCUUAAGUUCAGUAGUCAAUUUAUCAUUUAAUGCUAUGUCCCAUACUUCAUUAUACCAAUCUUUUAACUUAGUAUCAUUUUUAUCUUUCCAGAAUCUAGCUAUUAAUAUUCCAGCGCUUGUCAUAAAAUUGGAAAUCAAUUCUUACUCUGGUUUCUCUUCAAAUCGCAUAAGUCUUUCGCCUUUUACUUACUAAGCAUCUCUAAGCUGAACCAGUGUGAUGUAGUGGUUAGCCUGGAAACGAGCGCAUGUCCUGACUGUGUCCUGAGGCUGAUGAUCAUGGGCAAAUCAUUCUUAGUUA
rnacentral:lncRNA from 1 species